ensembl:snRNA U6 U6 spliceosomal RNA
GUGCUCACUUCAGCAGCACAUACACUAAAAUUGGAAUGAUACAGAGAAGAUUUGCAUGGCCCCUGCACAAGGAUGACACGCAAAUUUGUCAAGCAUUCCAUAUUUUA